GACGAACGCUGGCGGCGUGCUUAACACAUGCAAGUCGAACGGAAAGGCCCUGCUUUUGUUGGGUGCUCGAGUGGCGAACGGGUGAGUAACACGUGAGUAACCUGUCCCUGUCUUUGGGAUAACUCCACGAAACAGGGGCUAAUAUCGGAUAGGAUCUCUUGCUCCAUGGUGGUGGUUGGAAAGUUUCGGCGGUUGUGGAUGGACUCGCGGCUUAUCCGCUUGAUUGUGGGGUAGGGGCUUACCAAGGUUUUGACGGGUAGCCGGCCUGAGAGGGUGACCGGCGACAUUGGGACUGAGAUACGGCCCAGACUCCUACGGGAGGCAGCAGUGGGGAAUAUUGCACAAUGGGCGGAAGCCUGAUGCAGCAACGCCGCGUGCGGGAUGACGGCCUUCGGGUUGUAAACCGCUUUCGCCUGUGACGAAGCGUGAGUGACGGUAAUGGGUAAAGAAGCACCGGCUAACUACGUG
rnacentral:rRNA from 1 species